rnacentral:rRNA from 1 species
ACUCAACACGGGGAAACUCACCCGGUCCGGACACUGGAAGGAUUGACAGAUUAAAAGCUCUUUCUUGAUUCAGUGGGUGGUGGUGCAUGGCCGUUCUUAGUUGGUGGAGUGAUUUGUCUGGUUAAUUCCGAUAACGAACGAGACUCUAGCCUGCUAACUAGUUCGCCGGCAGCUCUUGUCGCGCGGCGCCGCUUCGGCGGCAAACUUCUUAGAGGGACAGGUGGCGUUUAGCCACACGAAGUAGAGCAAUAACAGGUCUGUGAUGCCCUUAGAUGUCCGGGGCCGCACGCGCGCUACACUGAAAGAAUCAACGUGGAUGCCCACCUGCUCCGAGAGGAGUGGGAAACCCGAUGAAUCUCUUUCGUGAUGGGGAUUGGGGCUUGUAAUUGUUCCCCAUGAACGAGGAAUUCCCAGUAAGCGUCAGUCAUCAGCUGGCGCUGAUUACGUCCCUGCCCUUUGUACACACCGCCCGUCGCUACUACCGAUUGAAUGGUUUAGUGAGACCCUCGGACUGGAGUCCGUCCGCCGCUUUCGGGUGGUGGAUGGGGACGGAAAGACGGUCGAACUUGAUCAUUUAGAGGAAGUAA